rnacentral:rRNA from 1 species
UGGCGGCAUGCCUAACACAUGCAAGUCGAGCGGCAGCGCGGGGGCAACCCUGGCGGCGAGCGGCGGACGGGUGAGUAAGGCAUCGGAAUCUGCCCUGAUGUGGGGGAUAACGUAGGGAAACUUACGCUAAUACUGCAUACGACCGAGAGGUGAAAGCGGGGGACCGAAAGGCCUCGCGCAGCAGGAUGAGCCGAUGUCCGAUUAGCUGGUUGGUGGGGUAAAGGCCUACCAAGGCGACGAUCGGUAGCUGGUCUGAGAGGAUGAUCAGCCACACUGGGACUGAGACACGGCCCAGACUCCUACGGGAGGCAGCAGUGGGGAAUAUUGGACAAUGGGGGCAACCCUGGUCCAGCAAUGCCGCGUGUGUGAAGAAGGCCUUCGGGUUGUAAAGCACUUUUAUCGGGAGCGAAAGGCGCCAGACUAAUAUUCUGGUGAACUGACGGUACCCGAGGAAUAAGCACCGGCUAACUCCGUGCCAGCAGCCGCGGUAAUACGAGGGUGCAAGCGUUAUCGGAUUACUGGGCGUAAAGCGUGCGUAGGCGGUAAGUAAGUCUGCUGUGAAUCCCUGGGCUCACCUGGGAUGGCGUGGAUACUGGCUGCUGAGU